UUCCUGCUCCUGCCUACCAACACUCACAUGCUGCUCACCAUGUCGACAGCCACUCAUCACCACCAGCCAAAAGUACAUGGGUCUCCUCACCAAUCCUCACCAGAAAUGGGUGGCUGCUAAAAGCAACUGUGACAACAACAAUGGAGAGGAACGGACUGUGCUUUUUUUAUCCAACAGCGAGGCAGCCUGUCUCCUACAACUGACCACAUCCAAGGGUGACAAGAGUCAACCCAGGUCCUUCAACUGGACUCCAAUAAUCUUAGAGCGGUUUCAGUACCUUGACGGUACUGAAACCAACGGAUGAAAGAAAAGAGCUGUAUAUGUUGACUCACAGAGAAGCCAUAACAAGAGGCAGUGGAAGGCAUGUUUUUCAUGUGGAGGCCCCACAGGAGAAGUAGGAGGAGGAGGAGGAGGGGGAGGUGUCACCAAAGGACUACAACCAGGCCCUUGUCCCUUUUAAAUGCUUGCUCCUCAUUUACUGCUGUUUUCCUCACAGGACACCAUCUCACAGACUAGAAAAUACACAUUUGCGUGUGUAAUUACAGUGAAACAACUCAGGUGUCUUUUGAAAUGUUGUCUUCUCCGCUUAGUCAGAAUAUUUUGUUUAUUUUACCUUCACAAUGAUCAGUAUAAAUUCACUUCAGCAGAAUAGCCUUUAUUGACAUAUUCAACAGGUUAGAGUUGCAC